UGGGUAGUCCGCACGAGCGCACCCCUACAUUAGUUGCCAUCAGUUCGGCUGGGCACUCUAGUGGGACUGCCGGUGCUAAGCCGGAGGAAGGUGGGGAUGACGUCAAGUCCUCAUGGCCUUUAUGUCCAGGGCUACUCACGUGCUACAAUGGUCGGUACAGAGGGUCGCGAAGCCGCGAGGUGGAGCCAAUCCCACAAAGCCGAUCUCAGUUCGGAUUGGAGUCUGCAAUUCGACUCCAUGAAGGUGGAAUCGCUGGUAAUCGCGGAUCAGCAUGCCGCGGUGAAUACGUUCCCGGGCCUUGUACACACCGCCCGUCACAUCACGAAAGCUGGUUGAACCAGAAGCCGGUGACCCAACCUUCGGGAGGGAGCCGUCCAAGGUUUGGCUGGUGAUUGGGGUGAAGUCGUAACAAGGUAGCCGUAGGGGAACCUGCGGCUGGAUCACCUCCUUUCU
rnacentral:rRNA from 1 species